rnacentral:rRNA from 1 species
CAGUAGCCGCGGUAAUACGAAGGGGGCUAGCGUUGCUCGGAAUCACUGGGCGUAAAGGGUGCGUAGGCGGGUCUUUAAGUCAGGGGUGAAAUCCUGGAGCUCAACUCCAGAACUGCCUUUGAUACUGAAGAUCUUGAGUUCGGGAGAGGUGAGUGGAACUGCGAGUGUAGAGGUGAAAUUCGUAGAUAUUCGCAAGAACACCAGUGGCGAAGGCGGCUCACUGGCCCGAUACUGACGCUGAGGCACGAAAGCGUGGGGAGCAAACAGGAUUAGAUACCCGCGUAGUCCCUGUCUCUUAUAC